CUCUCCAAAUUGUUUUUGCUUGCAUAAAUGAUUUUUGGAUUCGGAGCGAGUGGCGAACUGGUGAGUAACACGUGGGUAACCUGCCCCGAAGCGGGGGAUAACAUUUGGAAACAAGUGCUAAUACCGCAUAAUUAGUUGGAACCGCAUGGUUCCAACUUGAAAGAUGGCUCUGCUAUCACUUUGGGAUGGACCCGCGCCGUAUUAGUUAGUUGGUGAGAUAAAAGCCCACCAAGACGAUGAUACGUAGCCGACCUGAGAGGGUAAUCGGCCACAUUGGGACUGAGACACGGCCCAGACUCCUACGGGAGGCAGCAGUAGGGAAUCUUCCACAAUGGACGAAAGUCUGAUGGAGCAACGCCGCGUGAGUGAUGAAGGUUUUCGGAUCGUAAAACUCUGUUGUUAAAGAAGAACAAGUGUUAGAGUAACUGUUAACACUUUGACGGUAUUUAACCAGAAAGCCACGGCUAACUACGUGCCAGCAGCCGCGGUAAUACGUAGGUGGCAAGCGUUGUCCGGAUUUAUUGGGCGUAAAGCGAGCGCAGGCGGUUUUGUAAGUCUGCUGUGAAAGCCCUCAGCUCAACUGAGGAAGUGCAGUGGAAACUACAAAACUUGAGUACAGAAGAGGAAAGUGGAACUCCAUGUGUAGCGGUGAAAUGCGUAGAUAUAUGGAAGAACACCAGUGGCGAAGGCGGCUUUCUGGUCUGUUACUGACGCUGAGGCUCGAAAGCAUGGGUAGCGAACAGGAUUAGAUACCCUGGUAGUCCAUGCCGUAAACGAUGAAUACUAGGUGUUGGAGGGUUUCCGCCCUUCAGUGCCGCAGCUAACGCAUUAAGUAUUCCGCCUGGGGAGUACGACCGCAAGGUUGAAACUCAAAGGAAUUGACGGGGGCCCGCACAAGUGGUGGAGCAUGUGGUUUAAUUCGAUGCUACGCGAAGAACCUUACCAGCUCUUGACAUCUUCUGCUAACCCAAGAGAUUGGGCGUUCCCUUCGGGGACAGAAUGACAGGUGGUGCAUGGGUUGUCGUCAGCUCGUGUCGUGAGAUGUUGGGGUUAAGUCCGCACGAGCGCACCCUUAUUAUUAGU
rnacentral:rRNA from 1 species